AGAGUUGUAUCCUGGCUCAGAUUGAACGCUGGCGGCAUGCCUUACACAUGCAAGUCGAACGGUAACAGGUUAAGCUGACGAGUGGCGAACGGGUGAGUAAUAUAUCGGAACGUGCCCAGUUGUGGGGGAUAACUGCUCGAAAGAGCAGCUAAUACCGCAUACGACCUGAGGGUGAAAGCGGGGGAUCGCAAGACCUCGCGCAAUUGGAGCGGCCGAUAUCAGAUUAGCUAGUUGGCGGGGUAAAAGCCCACCAAGGCGACGAUCUGUAGCUGGUCUGAGAGGACGACCAGCCACACUGGGACUGAGACACGGCCCAGACUCCUACGGGAGGCAGCAGUGGGGAAUUUUGGACAAUGGACGCAAGUCUGAUCCAGCCAUGCCGCGUGCGGGAAGAAGGCCUUCGGGUUGUAAACCGCUUUUGUCAGGGAAGAAACGGCUUUCUCUAAUACAGAGGGCUAAUGACGGUACCUGAAGAAUAAGCACCGGCUAACUACGUGCCAGCAGCCGCGGUAAUACGUAGGGUGCAAGCGUUAAUCGGAAUUACUGGGCGUAAAGCGUGCGCAGGCGGUUAUGCAAGACAGAUGUGAAAUCCCCGGGCUCAACCUGGGAACUGCAUUUGUGACUGCAUAGCUAGAGUACGGUAGAGGGGGAUGGAAUUCCGCGUGUAGCAGUGAAAUGCGUAGAGAUGUGGAG
rnacentral:rRNA from 1 species